GUGGCAGCGCGAAAUGCUUAGAGGACAAUCCCCGCCCCGGAGGUGGAGGGGGCGGAGAGGUGGGACUAUGCAAAUGAGAUGGCACCCUCCCGCGUGCGCCCCACGUCUCCAAAGGUCUCGGACUCUCUGAUUGGCUACAUUUGGAUUUGAGGGAGGAACUUCAAUGAAGUAGGAAACCCGGUAGAAAAAAAGUUAUUUUCCGCCUACAUGGGCGCAGGCGCGGGAGAAUGAAUUGCACGUGUGUGCUGACCGGGCUCGGUUUUGUGAGAAAGGGUGGUGACGUUCAGAGCCUUCCUUUGACUCUGGUCCUUUCUUCCUUUUGAGAAGAGAUCUAAAGACACCUAAAAGUCUUUCGAUUGUUAUCUAUUGUAAUCAGUUUGUUUGUUUUUAAUAAAAAUUCUGGAGGGCACAUUAUCCAGUUUGCAGAUGGCACGAGCCUGGGAGGAGAAGGGACACGGAACACUGGAGAGCAGAAACGGGACCCCCAAAAAACCUUGACAGAUUCAUCCCGAAUUCAAGAAGAUGAUAUUCAUAAGGAUGUAAAACCUUAUGCUUGGGUUCAACUAACUAAUAUUCAUAUGAACAAGAUGCAGGAGGUAAAUUAGCAGUUAAGUAUCUAGCACCUUCUGUGGAUCAACUACCUAUCCUCAAAGAGCUUCCAAUCUAAUGGGAAAGACAACUGUAAAGUGCAAACUACAUGUAUGCAAGGAUAACUAGAAGAUAGUCAACUGAAGUUGAAAAGAAUUGGGAGGGAUUUCCCAAUGGACUGUGCAAGCUGUGAGUCAGUAGGAUAAUGUGGCAACCAAAAAAGCUAAUGUAAUCUUGGACUGUAGAGAAAGAAAUGAAAGUGAUUAAAAAAACCAAUUUAUCAAGAAAAAUAAGACCUCCCAAGAAAGUAAAGGAAAACAGGAGCCAUUUCAAAGGAAGCAAGGACUUAGUCACUCACACACUGGAUCCAAAGAAUGAAGAGAGGAUGGAAUCAGAGAUCCUUGCAGUCUGAAGAAGAGUUCUGGCAUUGAUAAAGAGAGUAAAGUUGAGGCCAAGAGAGGAGUCAUCCUUCCAAAUACUAUAUAAAACAUAUUUGUGAGUGGAAGAUGGCUUGGAAGAAGCCCUGUCUGGGGGAGGAAGAAUGGACUAGGAUGUCCGAUUUGGAAGGACCCACUUUUACAAAUGAGGAAACUGAGGCCCAUUUCCGUGUCUCUCAAGUCCAGUGCUUCAGCUGGCUGAACCAUCGAGUCGGGAGUCAAACACACACACCUCUCCUCCUGUUCAUGAAUUUUCCAUGCCAGGAUCAUGCUUUUAGACACUAUUCUUUCCAUUAAAUUCAGGAUUGGCUCCAAGUUCCUUCUCUCUUA